rnacentral:rRNA from 1 species
CCUACGGGUGGCUGCAGUAGGGAAUAUUGCUCAAUGGGGGAAACCCUGAAGCAGCAACGCCGCGUGCAGGAUGAAGGUUUUCGGAUUGUAAACUCCUUUUGUUAGAGAAGAUAAUGACGGUAUCUAACGAAUAAGCAACGGCUAACUCCGUGCCAGCAGCCGCGGUAAUACGGAGGGUGCAAGCGUUACUCGGAAUAACUGGGCGUAAAGGGCGCGUAGGCGGGAUAGCAAGUCUGAUGUGAAAUGCUAUGGCUUACCCAUAGAACUGCAUUUGAAACUGGUAUGCUUGAGUAUGGGAGAGGUAGGUGGAAUUCUUGGUGUAGGGGUAAAAUGCGUAGAGAUCAAGAGGAACACCUAUUGCGAAGGCGACCUGCUAGAGCAUAACUGACGCGGAUGCGCGAAAGCGUGGGGAUCAAACAGGAUUAGAUACCCGAGUAGUC